ACAUUUACGUAAAUCGUGAUUAGGAAAUUAAUUAAGAUUGUUUGAUAAAAAUAAUGUGGACAUAUGUCAUGGAUAAGCGGAAGCAAGUCCAUUAUGUACGUAUACAUAAGCAAUAUUGUGUCACAAAUAUGAUAAGUAUCAAAAGGGAAGGGGUUGGCCAAUGAGUGCCAUGUGUAAGAUUGGAAAGUGUGUAUAUUAUACUAAUCAAUAUCUAGUAUUCAAUUAGUGAAGUAGUGGCAGCAUUACACGUAUUGAAAUACAUGGGUACUAUGCAUAAAUGUGCCUUCUAUUCUUAUGAUAAGUGUCAUAAUGUAGAUCAAGAUGGGGCCACGUGUAAGGUAGAAAAGGUGUAAUUUAUGUCACUUAUUAUACUUUAUUGAGAAUUCACUUGGAAGGAAAAGUCAUGCAAGAUAUUUUGGUAGAAAGCAACGUGAGCUUCAGUUCUUAGUAGCAAUGUGAGUCCCAAUUUUAUGGAAGCAAAGUAUAAUUUUGCUCAAGAACGACAUGCGAGUUUUGUCCACUAUUUUGAUUUCGUUGUUCCGUUUUGUUGUAUUGUUAAAAUUUGAAAUUUAUUCAAGGUGAAGUAAUGUGGAAGAAGAGUAUUUCUUGGCAUAUGAGGUAAAAAUUCUCCUCUAUUAGAUAUAUUUAAAUUCGUCCAGGCCACAAUUAAAUGAAGAGACGGGAAUUACGAAAGUUAUAUCGGAAAUCGGAUAAAUAGUUGUUGUUAUUAUGUGGAUAGUUAGUGAAUGUUGAAAUAAAGUGGGACAGCAAGGAACUAAUUAUUGUAUUAUCGGACAAGGAUUAAAGAGGUAGUAUUGUAUUGCUGGAUGGUUAAUGAGGUGGCAGCCCCCUACACGUGGAAGCAUAGUAGAAGAAGUGAUUAGUGACUAAGUCACUUGCAUACAGAUCUGCAAGCCUCAUCCAAGGAAAUACCUUUUAGUGGUGGGCUCCACCAUCCAAUAUAUAUUCUAUAAAACUUGCCUUGUUUUUGGAGAGUACAAGACUUCUUGAGAAAUAUAGAUACAUAUAUAGGUUCUACAUCACUAUUUUGGCUAUGUACGUAACAUAUAGCUAUCUCUCACGUUUCAGUUAUAUAUGUAAAGAAGAUACAUAUAUUUCUUCUUCUUACUUUAGUUUAAUGGAAGAUAUAGAAGUGCACAGCAAUGUUUUACAUUUUUGUUUCAAAGAAGAUUAACGACCAACAAUGUUUUAGGCACUUCAUUUUGAGAAAGAAGGGAGCCGCAAGGCACUUAGCUUGUAGUGUAAUUGGAAGUUGGGCAGCAACUAAGUGGCACCUUGCAGUAACGUGUAUUCUAUUUUAAGUGGUUGUUUGGUUCUUGUAUACUCGGGGCAAGGCAGGUUGUUUCAUCUUGGUUUAAGAAUAAGUUUGGAUGAGACGGUGGUUUUAUUGUGAUUAGCGGAUCGAUAAUCGAGGUACACCCAGAUGAGUAGAAGACUUUGCUAGAUGGUGUUCCAGCGGGAUUGGCGAGCUCCAUCUCAGUUCGGAGUAUUGCCGAGUCAAGUACUUUUGUUAUGGUAUUUUGUAUAUGUUAGAGACUUUGCAGACAGUGUCCUGUGGAUAGGGCGUCGAGAAGUGCGAAUUAAUUAUAGAUGUUAAAAGAGUAUGUAUUUUCAGAUGAUUUCAGUUGGUAAAAAAUACGUAAUUGAUUGAAAGUUUUUCAUAAUCUGUAUAAAGGUAAUGACCUCUAUUUGGAAAAGUUUCAUGUUUUUGAAAGUUUUUGAAAUGACAGGUUUUGGUAAAGCGAAUGUUUAAGGGUUCGCUCGACUCUGAAGAGAGUUGGGUGCCCGUCAUGCCCUACCAUUUUUAGGGUGUGACAAUUGGUCGGUCAAAUUUAUACAUUUUUAGAAAUUGAACAGGGAGUUCAACCAUCUUUAGCUGAAGCCGAACUCGCUAUUGAUGACGAGUUUAGAAAAGUUUUUACUCAUUAUUCUAAUUUGGAAGAACGUGCUACACCCGUUGCUCCACGCCCUACUACUUCUCAAAGUAGCAAAAAGGGCUUGUUGGGUUUGUCGCAUUUAAAAGUUUUACAUUGACAGCCAACUUCUUCUUGUAAUGCAAACUCUGAUGAAUAUAACUUUUAUUUGAUGCAGCCAAAUGUGAAUAUCAAGGAACUGGAUGAAUUGGACGUCUUAGCAUGGUGGAAGAAGUACAAGGCAAGUCAUCGAUACUCUCAAGAAUGGCUCGAGAUAUCCUUACGGUUCAAGUAUCAACCAUGGCUCAGGAGAGCGCAUUUAGCCAAGGAAGACAACAAAUUGGAGACCAUAGACAUUCAUUAUCCGGCUUUAGCUUGCAAGUACUAGUGUGCAUUCGCGGUUGGAUUAGAUCGGAGCGACGCAACCAAAACUUAGAAGCGGAGGAAGGCGAAGAGGAAGAAAUUGAAGAUUUGAUAGCAAGUGGACCGGACCAAAUGGAAGACUUUGAAGAUAUCUCCAUGGCCGAAUAUGAUAUGGGGGAAAUUAACGAAAUGAUUCAGAAUUGGUGAAUUUAUUAUUCUACUAUUUCUUUACAACUCAUGUAUUAUUUGCAAGUUAAAAAAAAAAAAACUACAACUUGCAAAUAAAUGUUAUCCAAGAAUGAAUAAAAUAUAUGGCUCAUUGAGCUUUCUUCUAUUUACUUAUGUUCAUAUU